rnacentral:rRNA from 1 species
AUUGAACGCUGGCGGCAUGCCUUACACAUGCAAGUCGAACGGUAACAGGUCUUCGGAUGCUGACGAGUGGCGAACGGGUGAGUAAUACAUCGGAACGUGCCCGAUCGUGGGGGAUAACGGAGCGAAAGCUUUGCUAAUACCGCAUACGAUCUACGGAUGAAAGCAGGGGACCGCAAGGCCUUGCGCGGACGGAGCGGCCGAUGGCAGAUUAGGUAGGUGGUGGGAUAAAAGCUUACCAAGCCGACGAUCUGUAGCUGGUCUGAGAGGACGACCAGCCACACUGGGACGGAGACACGGCCCAGACUCCUACGGGGGGCAGCAGUGGGGAAUUUUGGACAAUGGGCGCAAGCCUGAUCCAGCCAUGGCGCGUGCAGGAUGAAGGCCUUCGGGUUGUAAACUGCUUUUGUACGGAACGAAAAGACUCUUUCUAAUAAAGGGGGUCCAUGACGGUACCGUAAGAAUAAGCACCGGCUAACUACGUGCCAGCCGCCGCGGUAACAC